rnacentral:rRNA from 1 species
GAUGAACGCUGGCGGCGUGCCUAAUACAUGCAAGUCGAGCGAACAGAUAAGGAGCUUGCUCCUUUGACGUUAGCGGCGGACGGGUGGGUAACACGUGGGUAACCUACCUAUAAGACUGGAAUAACUCCGGGAAACCGGGGCUAAUGCCGGAUAACAUUUAGAACCGCAUGGUUCUAAAGUGAAAGAUGGUUUUGCUAUCACUUAUAGAUGGACCCGCGCCGUAUUAGCUAGCUGGUAAGGUAACGGCUUACCAAGGCAACGAUACGUAGCCGACCUGAGAGGGUGAUCGGCCACACUGGAACUGAGACACGGUCCAGACUCCUACGGGAGGCAGCAGUAGGGAAUCUUCCGCAAUGGGCGAAAGCCUGACGGAGCAACGCCGCGUGAGUGAUGAAGGUCUUCGGAUCGUAAAACUCUGUUAUUAGGGAAGAACAAAUGUGUAAGUAACUGUGCACGUCUUGACGGUACCUAAUCAGAAAGCCACGGCUAACUACGUG